GCUCGGGUGGUGGAAUUGGUAUACACGUACGCUUGAGGUGCGUAUUCCGAAAGGAUUGCGGGUUCGAGUCCCGCCCCGAGCA
rnacentral:tRNA from 1 species